CCCAGACAGGGUGGUUUUCUACUCCUCUUCCCUCCCCUCCUCCAAACACUUUGGAUACAUAGGAGCUAGAGAGAAAACAACACCAACAGUUUCUCUCUGUCCAGCUUACCGCACCAUUUAGCUUUUAUGGUUUCUAUAAAUGUUUAUAAGGAUCUGAAUUUGACUGUGAAACAGAACUGAGAACAUGGGAGGUAAACUUUCUCCAGGAACCCUGGAGAGAUCGUCUGAUCGUUUGCUUUCUCCCGUGCCCCUUCUCCAUCUGCUGUCUGUGCUCAGCUGGCCCUCAGACCAGGAAGGGGACUGAAGAGCCUCACCCUCUACAUAUACAGGGCCUCCAGGCCAGGCCCCUGGGAAGUUUUCAUGAUUUAUACCACCCUUGGAAAAGGCCAGAAGGCAACUGGAUGCUUCCGUGGCAGCCUUUCCAUGUUGACCUUGAGCAAAGGAGGAGAGGCACAAGAGUUUCCUGAUGUGGAAGAGGCGGGGAUUCCUUGAGGCCAGCUGGAUGGGUCAGAUGCUGACUGAUCCCUCAAAAGGGGGUGGCUGAGUUGGAGAAAAACUGGUCAGCAACACGUCUCUCUGUCCUGGACACUGAUGCACCCAGCUAUGUGGCAUCCUCUGGCCUGACAGCAGCCUCCAUCUCCAUUCACAAUCACACCCAUCCUUCUUUCUUCGUCACUGCUUCCUGUCAGAUUGUCCCCACCAGUGGGACUCUCCAGUGAUCUCCCACAAGACCUGGCACCUCCCUGGGUCAGAGCGCUUGGAUGUGAAGGCCUUUCCACAGAAUAUCCAGGUCUCAGUUUUUAUCCUGACCCCAGUGUGCAGGUACAGACCCAUCAGUGCACCUGGCCUCUGGCCACUUCUCUCCCACACACCUAUGAACAUGCAAUGGUUGUAACUGUCAUGUCCAACCUCAUGGAGCUUUUUGCUUUUGCUUGAAGUGCCCUUACACCAGGCCCCAUGUGGCUGUCUCUCUGUCAUUAUUCCCGUGUCUCCUUGACAUUGCAUCCUUGGCCAUUUCUCCUAAUGUAACUCUCUCUCAUCCUCAUUAUAGUACUCAGUUUUGUCUCCUUCACUGUACUUUAUUAAAUCUGAGUUGUUUGUGGUUAACAUUUUUUUUUGCCAAUAGUCCCUUGGUGAUUCGAGCAAGGGGAUCAAGAUUCUCUUUGUAUCACAGACUUGGUUUUAUGGUGCUCUGGUAAAACCCUUUUGUUGUGCCUAACAAAAAGAAGUACACAUAAGAUAGUUUUGCAAAUUAACCAACAAAUCAUUUUUUAUUUGCUACUUCAUAUCACCCCUUGGCCCAGAAAGAGGGAGGAGGAAGCCACUUACAUGAUCCAAACAACAGUCUUAAGUCUCUUGGGCCUUUUAUUUGUUUGAUCAAACAGUAAUUAUCUUAAGUGCUUCUUGUUUCUGGGCAGUCCAAAUGCCAGGCCCAAUGACCAGAAUUCCUCCAACCCUGGUGCCCACCUAGAAGAUGACUUGCAUGAGAACUGCAGCUUCUCCUACCAUUGUAUUCUCAGGCCUGGCACAGAGCAGGUGCUCAAUAAAUCCAGUUGGUGCAGGGAGAAAUGACAGGCAAAUAAAGAUGCCGGCAGGUGUCUGUAUAUGUGGACAAAGGAAGUGUCUUUGUCUUUCUGAACCUCUGCCAAGAGAGCCUUUUGGGAGACAUAGCAGAGUGACUUAGAGCAGAUGGAACAUUUAAAAUAAUGUCAGGAUUAUAGUAAGCUCUAUUUCCUGUUCUCCCAGAGCCAAGGCAGAGGCACCAGCAGAUUCAUUUUCCUUGGCAUUUAGUGAUCCUUGCACCACACUCAGAUGCUGUGGGACAAAAUUCUCACCAAAAGGGAAGUCGGUGGGUCUCUUCGUUGUAAAGCUAAGCCCACAGCAUUGCCAGUCCCAGAGACAAGAUGCAGGUGAGUAGAGCACAUACUCAGGAGAAAGAAGCCAGACAGCCCAAGGCACAGCCCGGAGUCCUGUGACUCUGCCUGACCACCUUAAAUAGUGGCAAAUGCUGUAGCAGGAGGUUGUGGGUGGAGCAUGCAGGGCUACUUUCUUCCCAGGAGGAUACACAUGGCCAAGAUGUUGGCAGGGGACAGAUGGCAUCAACAGGAUACAGGGGAAGAGAACUGUCCAUUCAAAGACCAUUGAUACCUUCCGGAUUGCAUCAUCAACCUUCUUGGCACAAACAACAGACCCCCUCCCAGCCUGGUUAAGCAGAAAAAGAAUUGUUUUUAGAGCAAUCUUCAGGAUGGCCAGAGAACCCGGCUUGGAGAUUAUACUUGGGUUACACCCUGGAGUCACCGCUGCCUGUACCCCCCAGGACACUGCCACCCUCUCCAGAAUGGUCCCCUGGUUCCCCAUCACAGCUCCCGCUGGGCAUGGUAACUAGCAGCACCUCAUUCACAGACUGCACCCAAGGUGGGAGAGGACUCUGGAAAAGCAAGUUUCGGUCUACCUUCGAGAGAUGCAGACUCACAAGCGUGGUGUCUAGAUAUGCUGAGUGACCAAAAUGGAUGACAGAAGUCCCUGGAAGAAAAGGAACUGUCCACAGCUUUCCUAAAUGCAAGUCUUCCAGCCUCCAGAUCCUGGAGAUGUGGCCACUGCCUGGCUCUGCAUGUUUGUUGGGCCCCUCUGUCUCUAGCCCUAACCCUUGCCUGCCAGAAUGUGAGAGAAACCACUGAACUUAUGAUUCAGGUAGGCUUGUACCUGCUCUAAUUUAUUUUUUAAAAUUGUAAAACAAUAAAUUCAAGUAUAUAUUCAUUACUCAUAACAAAUUCUCUAAAAUAUAUUUGUCUUAGCCGACUCUGAGUGGCAGUGACCUUUUCAAAGUGAAAUAAAUAACAUAAAGAGAAUUGAGACGAAGUGACUUUACGAAUGGCCAGAUCAGGUGCCCAAAUGCAACUAUCAGUCAGUCAUCUUCAUCUCUGCACUGCUUUCCUACAGUGGCUUUGUGCCAGGCGUGAUCUCUCUAAGUGGUGGCAAAGGUGACUCCCAGAGACUCCAGGAUUACAUUCUGCUGUUCUAACCUUCCCAUGGAUUGGUAGGAGUUAUUCCGGAAAACAUUGACUCUAGAUGGAUCGGCUUUGGCAUGAGCCCAAGGAGAGGGUCACAUGUUCUGCCCUGCAACUGGGUGGGUACUCCCUCCCCCACCCAGCACCAUGCCACAUGAUCAGAGAGAGAGAAAAAGUGGUUGGCUAGAGGAAAAUUGGAAGGAGGAGGAAUGAAUGCUGGGCGGGCACAGCCCUAGGUACCCACUCACAGUAGCCUGGGCAGUGCUGUACCAUUGGCUUGCUGGGAGCCAGGAUAUUUCUCUGCUCUGGUAAGGAUGACCAACUCUUCUUGAUGCCUCCUAAUCACUGUACAAACACAUCUGCUAGUCCCUGUUCAUUUUUCUUGACCUUUAUUAUUCUGGCUUCCUUUUAUUACUGGAUGCAGCAGGAUGAACCCAUGGCCACUUGGAUCUCUCAGCCUUUGCCUUUCCUGGAAGCUCAGUGGUUGGGAAUCUAGCUUCAUCCCAUCCCCAAGCAGACGGCCCCAUGAGACCCGCCCACAGUGGAUACUUGGGAGCUUAUGGAAUAAAGCAAGAUUCAGACAUCUUUGCAACCUCAAGGUCUCCCAGGAGCCAAGAACCUUAAUUCUUGAGCUUGAUGUGUGUCCAAGAGAAAGGUCAAGAGUUGAGUUCUUCCUCAGGCCUCUCUGACCUCUGGGUUUCCCCAAAAUCCUAUUCCUACGAUUUGAAUUAUUUUCCUCUAGGUCGCAGGCUGUGAUUAUUCCUUCAGCAUUGCUCUGCUUUUGUAAUCCAGGCAUCCUGCUUUAUGUCCUCUGGCUGAUUUUUCCCAAUGAACUUGCCUGCUGCCUGUUUUUCCCUGCAGGCCCAUCCUGGCCCCUGCUGCUCUUCUUGUACGCUCAGUGUCGCCUCUUCAGGAUCCAGCGAGGCUUACUCAUAUUCAACCUUGCCUCACAAAGCCUCCCGGAAACCUAACACACAUGAGUUCCUGAGGAGAAAGAGGGGCCACUUGUUCAAAUGCCCACAGAUGGUCCUCACCUAGUCCCUUGCUGCCCAGAGGAAAGGGUCUCUGGUUCUGCCUCCUGUGAUGGCUUCUUCUCUGUAUCCUCUGCCUCAGCGCUUGUCUGCUUAUUCUCACCUGCUCUGUCCUAAGCCAUAUAAAUGAACAGAGGCCUCAGUUCUCUUGGAAACUAUCUGAUACAGACACAUGUGAGUGCAACAGACACUGCACUCCACAAGGAAUCUAUCUUGUCUUGACCCAUGUCACACAACCCAGGUCACAGUGGCUUCACUCUCAUUGCCAUGAAGCAGAAAGCUUGACUACCAUCUCUAGAAUCUUAGUUUCUGCUGUGCUCCAUUUUAAAUCUGCACUCCAUCCAGGACCAAGACUUCCUAGCUCUCCUGAGGAUCAUUUCUCUCUGGUGUACCCCACCUUUCUGUAUAAAUGGUUGGGUAGGGUAGAAAAUACCCUCUCUUUGGGUUUAGUUGUAUCAUUUUCCCUUAAUGCUUUUCUCAAAUGUUCAUGACAGUCUGCAUUUGAUUAAGAAAGGAAUGGACUGGGGAGAUGGAACCACUCUUUCUUUGCUCCUUGAAAUUCUGAAAAGUCCACCUGUCCUCACUUUGUCCCACCGCAGUCCAUGUACACAGCUGCUACAAAUGCCAAUCUAUACAUUACUUUAAGGUUCUCAGGCUUCUUUUGGACUUUUUUUCCUGAUGCAGGCAAGAUGUGCCUGGUCGUAUCCCUACCACUUAUUAGUGUCAGUAGCAAGACUGGGAGUUAUGAGGGAAGCUGAUGAGUGGGCUGGUGUGGUUUGCACAGAUGGGUUCUUUUAAAAAGAGCUGGGUUUAUGCUGUCACUUUGCAGAUCACCUCAGCAGCUUCCACUAAAAAUGAAAAUAACAUGCCAUGCCACCCAGGAGAAGACCUCUCCCACGUGUACAAAUACCCAGUGAUGGUCAAAGCAGCCUUGAUAUGCUGAAGCACUCACCAAUGAUUGUGUUUUACUUGGUCCUACAUGUGUGGCAUAAAUAAUGUCUUGGUUACUUUUCUCUCAUUGCUGGGACAAAAUAUCUGACACCCAAAGGUAAAGAGGGAAAGAUUUAUUUAGCUCACAGUUUGUGGCGGUUUCAGUCCAUAAUCCACUGGCUCCAAGGCAGGGUGGCAUGGCACAGGGGCAACAGGUCAGGCAGCAGAAGACAGAAAAAGCAACAAGAGCACAAGAGAGGAACAGCGAAUCUCUUCGGCUCCCUUAUAUUGUAAGUGGGCUACCCACCAUUGGGUGUGUGUAGCCUUCACAGCAUCUAGGUGCCCUCCUCUGAACCAGGCUCAGGAUGUUUACCAAGUGAGGACUCUGGCCCCCUGCUGAGUCACUUAAUUAAACUUCUAGACUUUUCAAGCUGACACACUGUAUAAACCAAUACAAAUAGUUUACAAAGAAAAUAACAAGUCCAAAACAUCACAGAGAAAUUGUCUUAAAGGAUUGGGACAGGAGCUCAUAAGAGAUCAUAUACCACAGAGGAAAGACAAAAGGUUUAUACCCUGGGAAUUAUACAAAAAAAUUAUAGAGCACACUAGUGAGCCAAUAGGUGAACAGCCAGGUGCAGGAUCACAAAGACCUACUGCAACAACAGGAAAAUAAAAAAGAUGCCAAUUGUGCCCUAGAAUAAAGCACAGGAGAACAAAACGUACAUGUGACCAGUGCAAGCAUUCAGUUGUGCGGGCAGCAUGCAGUUGUCCUGUGUGAAGACCACCUUGAGUGUGACAGUUGAUGCAAAGCUCAUUUCUGUAGCAGAUUUUUGUUUGUGUUUACAUUGUAGUUCACAUAGAUUUUGACUCUUGAUGCUAUCUUUUUGGAUUUGUAAGAAAGUAAAGAGCUCGGAAUUGUUGACGUCUAUUUCAAAUGCACAGUAUGUACUGAGAAUUUAACAAUUUACUUUAUGGAUGUCUUAUGUUCCUGUUUACUGCACAUUGCAUAAUAUAAUAAGAACCUCUUGACAAAACAGAAGGACAAGCAAGAUGUCAGAUAUGUCCUACAAAAAGGCCAGGAAAACAAAAGACAUGUGCUGUCAGGGCAAGGGAUAUGAAAUAUGGAAUGUGACAUUGUGUGUGCAGACUGCCUCUGGUGUGAUCAUUAAAGAUUUUUUUGAAGAG